CAGUAGCCGCGGGAAUACGUAGGGUGCGAGCGUUAAUCGGAAUUACUGGGCGUAAAGCGUGCGCAGGCGGUUGUGUAAGACAGGUGUGAAAUCCCCGGGCUUAGCCUGGGAACUGCGCUUGUGACUGCACAGCUAGAGUAUGGCAGAGGGGGGUGGAAUUCCACGUGUAGCAGUGAAAUGCGUAGAGAUGUGGAGGAACACCGAUGGUGAAGGCAGCCCCCUGGGCCAAUACUGACGCUCAUGCACGAAAGCGUGGGGAGCAAACAGGAUUAGAUACCCGGGUAGUCCCUGUCUCUUAUAC
rnacentral:rRNA from 1 species